CAAUCCAUUCGUGGAAAUAAUGGUGGUCGGACCUCAUCUUUCGUCGAGACGUCGCCGUUAUCAAACUAGAUCCAAGAGAAAUAACUGGAAUCCAUCUUUUAAUGAAACAUUUUACUAGCGGCGACGAAGCUCCCGAGAGCCCGGGUGGACGACGUGAAAAUCUCUCGCUCGACGGCGAGAACUCGCCUGUGGAAUUCUCGACCGGUCCUAUUAAACACUGCCCGAGAUGACUGCCCGAGAUGA